rnacentral:rRNA from 1 species
UACGUAGGGUGCAAGCGUUAAUCGGAAUUACUGGGCGUAAAGCGUGCGCAGGCGGUGAUGUAAGACAGGUGUGAAAUCCCCGGGCUUAACCUGGGAACUGCAUUUGUGACUGCAUCGCUGGAGUGCGGCAGAGGGGGAUGGAAUUCCGCGUGUAGCAGUGAAAUGCGUAGAUAUGCGGAGGAACACCGAUGGCGAAGGCAAUCCCCUGGGCCUGCACUGACGCUCAUGCACGAAAGCAUGGGGAGCAAACAGG